AAAAAAGCCGGAAUAGCUCAGUUGGUAGAGCAGAGG
rnacentral:tRNA from 1 species